GAUUUUCCCUUUCUGCACUUGCUGAGGCCUGACUGGGUGUCCAGCACUGGGGGAAGAUGUAGGAAAAGGAGACUCCAUCGUCUUUCCCCGGGCGCAGGAAGUUUAUGUGUAUGAGGCAGAGUAACCCAAGGAUGCCAAGGAUCCAAAUGAGAGUGAAAGCGGAAUACCUGGUUAUCCGGAGGUCACUGUCUCCACACAGAGUGGUGUCCUUGAUGCUAGCUUGGGGCAAAGAAGCCAGGCCAGCUUGUGGUUGCAAUAGGAAUAGAAGAGACUUCCUUACUCCAAUCCCACCCUACCCCCUCAUCCUGCCUCAACCAGUCAUGCAGAGAGAUGCUGAAUGGCUGCCUGCUCUCAGGGGAAUGAUUUGUGGAGGUUUAAUUAAAAUAAUUUAAUCAAUCAAAUCCAACAAAUAUUCGCUGAGUACCUACCAUAGUUAAGAACUUACUACAUUGUAUACUUACUGAAAGUCUUUAUUUUUGCCUCUCCAUGUCGUUGAGAUCACC
rnacentral:lncRNA from 1 species